rnacentral:rRNA from 1 species
CCUACGUGAGGCAGCAGUGAGGAAUAUUGGUCAAUGGGCGCGAGCCUGAACCAGCCAAGUAGCGUGAAGGAUGACUGCCCUACGGGUUGUAAACUUCUUUUAUAAAGGAAUAAAGUGAGGCACGUGUGCCUUUUUGUAUGUACUUUAUGAAUAAGGAUCGGCUAACUCCGUGCCAGCAGCCGCGGUAAUACGGAGGAUCCGAGCGUUAUCCGGAUUUAUUGGGUUUAAAGGGAGCGUAGAUGGGUUGUUAAGUCAGUUGUGAAAGUUUGCGGCUCAACCGUAAAAUUGCCAUUGAUACUGGCAGUCUUGAGUACAGGUGAGGUAGGCGGAAUUCGUGGUGUAGCGGUGAAAUGCUUAGAUAUCACGAAGAACUCCGAUUGCGAAGGCAGCUUACUAAACUGCCACUGACAUUGAUGCUCGAAAGUGUGGGUAUCAAACAGGAUUAGAUACCCUUGUAGUC